GGAUGCGAUCAUACCAGCACUAAAGCACCGGAUCCCAUCAGAACUCUGAAGUUAAGCGUGCUUGGGCGAGAGUAGUACUAGGAUGGGUGACCUCCUGGGAAGUCCUCGUGUUGCAUUCC
rfam:Sorghum bicolor cultivar BTx623 chromosome 9, whole genome shotgun sequence.